rnacentral:rRNA from 1 species
GAGUUUGAUCGUGGCUCAGAUUGAACGCUGGCGGCAUGCCUAACACAUGCAAGUCGAACGGCAGCGCGGGGUAGCAAUACCCUGGCGGCGAGUGGCGGACGGGUGAGGAAUACAUCGGGAUCUACCCUCUGGUGGGGGAUAACGCACCGAAAGGUGCGCUAAUACCGCAUGAGACCGGAAGGUGAAAGCGGAGGACCGCAAGGCUUCGCGCGAGAGGAUGAACCGAUGUCCGAUUAGCUAGUUGGUAGGGUAAAGGCCUACCAAGGCGACGAUCGGUAGCUGGUCUGAGAGGACGAUCAGCCACACUGGGACUGAGACACGGCCCAGACUCCUACGGGAGGCAGCAGUGGGGAAUCUUGGACAAUGGGCGCAAGCCUGAUCCAGCCAUGCCGCGUGAGUGAAGAAGGCCUUAGGGUUGUAAAGCUCUUUUGGCAGGGACGAUAAUGACGGUACCUGCAGAAUAAGCCCCGGCAAACUUCGUGCCAGCAGCCGCCGUAAC